CAACAGGUCUGGCCCAUGGCUCAGGUCUCUAUCUCAAGCCCUGUGAAAUCCACCCUCAUUUGGAGGUAGACAAGGCCUUAGAUACCCUUUGGCAGAGCUCUCUUGGUUGAAAUUCUAGCCGUUUCUCCUGAUCUUAAUCUAUUUGCACAGAUGCCCUUUUUCUCCUUGUAGUCAGGGUGCUUUCCUCACAUCCCAUGACUAGGUAGAUUUCAUUAGUCCUUGUCCUGAGUCUUUUCUGGCCUCUCCAUUGCCUUCAUGAUUAGUGUCUACUUGGCUGAAGCCAUCUAUAAUUUUUGUCUGCCCUGUGUUUUAAGAUAAUUAGUUUAGUAGAUUUACUGUCUACUGAAUAAAGAACAGCUCAUUUAAGAGAGCUUCUGCCAUAUCCCUAAUGUUGUUGGGCGUUCUUAUUGAUGAUCACAAUGGUGUCAUCAUGGUGGUCCAUCAGGUUGGGAAUUUCCAAUUGAUGUGUACAAACUCAGUGGUACUCUGUGGUUUGUGAGAGAUGCCCUUACACAGUCAAGAUCCUCUUCUGGCUCUGGGGCUGGCUCUGGGGCCAGCCCUUGCUUAAGGAUUGGCAGAAGUCAGUCCUGUUCUGACCAUGUGCAGCCCUCUGAGGGGCACUGGGAAACAAGCCUGACAGUUCCGGGUCCAGAGAGCAUCGAACUGUGGCCUCUCCGAGUAGGACUCUUUGGGCCACUGACGCACAUGAGAGGCUGGGGAAGCAGGCCAGUGAUUAUGUGUCUGACUCAACCUAUUGCUUGGAUUUCUGUUUGACUCAAGCCAGCGUAUCACGAAAAGCUGCAGAGUGAAUGUCCUCGUGAUGUUUUUGCUUCGUUCUGUCUCCUAGGCUAGCCUGAAAGCUGACUCUAUAAAUAAGCCCGUUGCACAGCAGUGUCAAGACUUGGUUAAAGUCAUUGAGGAUUUCCCAGCAAAGGAGCUGCACACCAUCUUCCCAUGGCUGGUAGAGAGCAUUUUUGGCAGCCUAGAUGGUGUCCUCAUUGGCUGGAACCUCCGCUGCUUACAAGGGCAUGUGAAUCCUGUGGAGUACAGCAUCGUGAUGGAAUUUCUUGACCCUGGUGGCCCAAUGAUGAAGUUGGUUUAUAAGCUUCAAGCUGAAGACUAUAGGUUUGACUUUCCUGUCUCCUACCUGCCUGGUCCUGUGAAGGCGUCCAUCCAGGAGCGCAUCCUCCCUGACAGUCCCCUGUACCACAACAAGGUCCGCUUCACCCCUACUGGGGGCCUUGGCCUGAACCUGGCCCUGAAUCCGUUCGAGUAUUACAUAUUCUUCUUUGCCGUGAGCCUCAUCACUCAAAAGCCACUCCCUGUGUCCCUCCACGUCCGUACUUCAGACUGUGCCUAUUUCAUCCUGGUGGACAGGUACCUGUCGUGGUUCCUGCCCACCGAAGGCAGUGUGCCCCCGCCACUCUCCUCCAGUCCAGGGGGAACCAGCCCCUCACCACCUCCCAGGACACCAGCCAUGCCCUUUGCUUCCUAUGGCCUCCACCACACUAGCCUCCUGAAGCGACACAUCUCUCAUCAGACGUCUGUGAAUGCAGACCCCGCCUCCCAUGAGAUCUGGAGGCCAGAAACUCUGCUCCAGGUUUUUGUUGAAAUGUGGCUUCAUCACUAUUCCUUGGAGAUGUAUCAAAAAAUGCAGUCCCCUCACGCCAAGGUAUGUUUCCACAGUUUUUCUUCCCACUUUCUGCUUCUGACCCUGCUCAACCUGCUGCUGCUU